GAAGCGGGCGCGGCAGUGUUUUCGAUUUGGAGCCAAAACCAUAGAGUUCAGUUGUUCUGUGAUGUUUACAGUGUGAUUGACAGUCCGGUGCGGAAAAGCCCAUCAACCCGAACGAACGAUUGCAGAACGAACUUGAGGUUGUGAACAGUGGCUGGGAAGGAGAAUUCCACAAGACAAGGAAGGUCAUAAAAGGAAGCUGGAAAGACAGUAAGACAACAUAACCCGAGGGACAGUCUUGCAACCUUUCUUACCCCAACACUCCUGGCCAGGAGGAACAGAUGGGCAACACAUGGUCUGUUUUUGUGUUGUGAAAAGCUCCGACAGGCAUCAAUGGCUCAAACGACGGAAACCUGGUUGACCAUUAGCCACAUUAUGGACUCAAAGGAUUAUAUGCAUGUGCAUGUAAAUAAUGAUGGACGAUAUGGUAAACGUGGUGGAAUGUAAAUAUCAAAUAAAUUGCAGGAGAUACGUGUUAUAUACAGGCACACUAAGCUUUACGAUCCCGAGUAUGUAUGGCGAAGUAAAAUAUUUUUAUAUAUAGAUGUGUGCACACAAAUGCAUGGAUCAUAGAAGGACCACGACCACACACUAGAUUCAGGCACCAGACACUAGACUAACACUAGAUUCAGACACCAGACACUAAACUAACACUAGAUUCCAAGUUAGGAGGGACCUUUGGGUAUUGUGUAACAAGUCUCAGACUUCAGAGUUUCUAGUAGUAGAAUGAAAGUCAUUCAUAAGAGACCUCAGAAUACUGAAUAACAAUUUUCAGACCUCUUGAGUUUCUAGCGAAAGAGUCCAAGAUAUUUAAUCUCCGAGUCAUCCUGAAGCCAAUGCCAUCAGUACCUGUAACAGGUUUUAAGAGCUCUGAGUGUCUCACAACUUAAAAACAAAUCCCCCCAACCUCUGGGACUAAUCCAGAGGGGUGGCUGGUGCCAGUCAUGGACACAGAGAUCCAGGUAUGUUGCCUAGCACCAAAGCAUAUGCAUCUGGUUAUCUCUGGGCAUAUCAUGUUUUCUAUAGUACCCUUCCCCACUCUUUCUAACAAAAUUUCCUAAACAUAUUUUGAACAGAUUUUGAAAUUAAAUGGAGUCAGAUAAAUGUGUGUUUUCCUACCUGCCACAAAAUCUUAAUCCUUAAAAAUAUACAUUUAAAUGCAGUCGCAACAUCACUGGUAUUUUAAUUCCCUGCAGCUACCUGUGUUUGUUUGUUAAUGAAAUACGAUGUCAAGCUGCAUUGUUUAAGUCUUAAUUUUGGCUACUUCAUGAGUAUGCUCCUGAACAUACUUACAGAAAGCAUUAGUUUUUCAUACAGAUAUUUUAAGUACACUUACAUUUUAAGUACAAUUUUCUAAAAUGUUGUACUUAUUUUAAAGUAUACUCAACUUGCACACUCAGGAGUAGGCAGGUGUGCUGAUUUGCACACUGUCAUAGAAUUUCGAACUCCACACUACCCGCAUUAUGUCACACUUUGACUCAUCAACCAGUUGGGAUUAGGCCAGCAAAAUGUUAGCUUUGGCUGUGUCCAAAACAGCCUAACUACUGUGUCCUCAAAAUAUGUACUGUUUAAUAACGUGCUGCCUACGGUUUAGUGCAGAUUUUUUAGUAUGUGAUGAGCAGUAUAUGAAAAAUAUCCUCCAUACUAUAUUCCAAUGGUACUGCGAAAGUGUUGCAGGAGAAAAUAAAUAAAUAAACUCUGUAAAAAUGAAA